ensembl:antisense Gm15133 predicted gene 15133
GCAUUAAAAAGCAGAGGCUCUGAUCCAGCUUUGUUGCCCUGAAAGGGAACGUCUGUUGUAAACAACGUUCUGGACCUCGUCGACAAGAACUCCACUCCCAACUCUGCAAAGAUUAGACUUUACAUUUAGUCUGCCAUUACCCUCUGACCUUAGUGAACAGGAUGAAGGUGACCAGGUAUUCUCAUUCUUCAAACAAAGCAUGGCCACGGUUUUGAAUGGGCUGAUGCAUCCUCUGCCAGCGUGUGAUGCCACAUCUGGAUUCUACUUGCUGCCCUGGUGAUUGGCAGAGCCUCAUGGUUUCUUCUGGAAUGAACAGCCAUUGCUGAUUCGAUCACAUCGAAGAACAAUCCAGAGAACAGAAUCCAGAGAUAAAGAAGACACCUUUCAUAUCAGUAACUGGAAGACAGUCAAGGAGACCUCUCUGAGAUCCUGCAUUGACCCCCACAGACAGCUUCCUGUUCCACUGGAAUUAGAGGCAGUUGGGGGAAAGUCUCAAAUCAUCAC